AGGAAAGCAGCCACCUCAUCAUUUUAUUUGGCUCCUAAUAUUCCCAACACAUGCCACGAUGAAACACAAUGUAAGGUGUGGCACUUAGGAAAUAAACAAGCUGGCCUUUGAAGGGAAAGAUGUGUCACAUAAACAAAACAUUGGGGGGAUUUAAAUUCAAAAUCAAAUCAUAAGAAGAGGAGGGCAGGCCCGAAUAUGAUCUACAGUAGAAGAGCAUAAAACCCUCAAUUUGAACAAGGCAGAGAUAAAGGUAGUUAACUUCCAGCAUGGGGGAAAGGUGAAUCAAACUUAUUUUGAAGGUGAAAAAAUAAAAGACUCAGGCAAAUCAGAGCAAGAUCAGACCUAAAUGAAUUCAGGAAGCAAGUGAACAAAUCGACUUGAUCAUGAUGGGAGAAGGAUUCAAAACCUAAGUUCAAGGUGAAGUAUUGAGGAAUGGUGAAGGAAUUGAACCAAAAGAAGAAUUUCGCUCAUGUCCCUCUCUAAGGGUCCAGAGCAAAAUCUCUUGGAAGAACCUCCUAUCUCACCUAAAGCGCUAAGAAGAUCUUGUUUUAAGCAAAGUAGGGAGCAGAUUGACUUGAGCAAAGUGAUAGGAAUGAAGGAAUUGAAUCGAAAGAAGAAUUUCGCUCUUGACCCUUCCAAAGGUACGGGAGCGAAAUCUCUUGAAGAAGAGUGUUUUGUUAAUCAAAAUAUCAAGACAAGCCUUCUUUAAGCAUUUGUUGCAGGAUGAGCCUUCCAAUGAUAAUGAAAAUUGAGUAUGUGAAAGAGAAAAUUAAGAUCAACCCUUAGUUCGCU